rnacentral:snoRNA from 1 species
CCCCUCUCAUAAUCCUAUCUGGAGAGUUUCCAGUACUCUACCAGUCUUGGCUAUGGGAGGGAGAGUCAAGCAGAGGCAAACCAUCCAUUCCUAGCUUGGACAGUGGCUAGCAAGUGGAAGGCAAUCUGCUAUAAGU